AAACACCAACCCCACCAGAGACAGAUUCAAUCUAUUCUCUAGUGAAUCCAUACACUGACCACGCAGCUGGACCUGUUGAUGUGACCUAUGCUGAGGUUGACCUCCAAAAGAAGAACAAAGCCAAGAAGAAGAGAGAAACAGCAACCCCACCAGAGGCAGAUUCAGUCUAUUCUCGAUUGAAGCCACGGUCAUGCCCCGGUCCUUGAGGGAGAUGGAGGGAUACA